rnacentral:RNase_P_RNA from 1 species
UGGGUCGGCAAGACGGUCGCGUCAUCCUCUCGGAUCUUCGAAUCCGUGACGGAUGCCGAGGAACGUCCGGGCUCCACAGAGCAGGACGGUGGGCAACACCCACCCGGGGCAACCCGCGAGACAGUGCCACAGAAAGCAGACCGCCGUGCGGUGACGCGCGGUAAGGGUGAAACGGCGGUGUAAGAGACCACCAGCGACCGGGGCGACCCGGCCGGCUCGGCAAACCUCGUCCGGAGCAAGGUCAGACAGGGAACGAUGAGGCUGCUCGCCUGGUUCCCGGGUAGACCGCUAGAGGGCUGCGGCAACGUAUGCCCCGAGAUAGAUGGCCGUCCACGGCGGGGUGUUCGCGCCCCGCCCGGACAGAACCCGGCGUAGCAGCCGGCCCAUUCC